rnacentral:rRNA from 1 species
UUGACCUCAAAUCGGGUGAGACUACCCGCUGAACUUAAGCAUAUCAAUAAGCGGAGGAAAAGAAACUAACAAGGAUUCCCCUAGUAACUGCGAGUGAAGCGGGAAAAGCUCAAAUUUAAAAUCUGGUGGCCUUUGGCCAUCCGAGUUGUAAUUUAGAGAAGCGUCUUCCGCG